AUUGAACGCUGGCGGCAUGCCUUACACAUGCAAGUCGAACGGUAACAGGUCUUCGGAUGCUGACGAGUGGCGAACGGGUGAGUAAUACAUCGGAACGUGCCCGAUCGUGGGGGAUAACGAAGCGAAAGCUUUGCUAAUACCGCAUAAGAUCUACGGAUGAAAGCAGGGGACCGCAAGGCCUUGCGCGAACGGAGCGGCCGAUGGCAGAUUAGGUAGGUGGUGGGAUAAAAGCUUACCAAGCCGACGGUUUGUAGCUGGUCUGGGAGGACGACCAGCCAGACGGGUAAUGAGAGACGGCCCAGACUCCUACGGGAGGCAGCAGUGGGGAAUUUUGGACAAGGGGCGAAAGCCUGAUCCAGCCAUGCCGCGUGCAGGAUGAAGGCGUUCGGGUUGUAAACUGCUUUUGUACGGAACGAAAAGACUCUUUCUAAUAAAGAGGGUCCAUGACGGUACCGUAAGAAUAAGCACCGGCUAACUACGUGCCAGCCGCCGCCGUAA
rnacentral:rRNA from 1 species